GUUGGUGGGGAAUUGUCGGACCUGGAACUCAAAGGUAAAAGCGAGGACACAAGAUACGGAUUUAUAUAGGCUCGGGCUGCUAGAGUAGCGUAAUACCCUACAUCAUGUUUUGGGUGUUGUAUAGGGCGCCCUGCACUUGGGUGUUGUUUGGUGUUGAGGAUGUCCUCUAUUGUGGUUCUCUAUAUGCCGAUCUAGGUACCCCUGCCCUCAUUUAUAUACUCCAAGGGGCGGUAUUACUAGUUGGUUAUAAGGUAGGAGUCCU
rnacentral:lncRNA from 1 species